rnacentral:rRNA from 1 species
GUAGGUGGCAAGCGUUGUCCGGAAUUAUUGGGCGUAAAGCGCGCGCAGGUGGUUCGUUUAAGUCUGAUGUGAAAGACCCCCGGGCUCAACCGGGGAGGGUCAUUGGAAACUGGGGAACUUGAGUGCAGGAGAGGAAAGUGGAAUUCCACGUGUAGCGGUGAAAUGCGUAGAUAUGUGGAGGAACACCAGUGGCGAAGGCGACUUUCUGGCCUGUAACUGACACUGAGGCGCGAAAGCGUGGGGAGCAAACAGGAUUAGAUACCCUGGUAGUCCACGCCGUAAACGAUGAGUGCUAAGUGUUGGGGGGUUUCCGCCCCUCAGUGCUGCAGCUAACGCAUUAAGCACUCCGCCUGGGGAGUACGGCCGCAAAGACUG